GAUGAAGAACGUAGCGAAGUGCGAUAAGUAAUGUGAAUUGCAGAAUUCCGUGAAUCAUCGAAUCUUUGAACGCAAAUUGCGCUUCCUGGCAUCCCGGGAAGUAUGCCUGUUUGAGGGUCAGUGUUAAUAAAAAUCGGUUCGUUGCGAAUUUUUUUGUGACGUUCCGGAGUUUGGGUUAUCUUAACUUUUUUGGUUAAGAGGCUUAAAAUUGACCUUUUUUUUGCGCAUUUUUUAGACGUACAUAAAUUUUUUUUUUAUUCGUAUAUUCUUAAUGCCAAAAUCUUAUUAGAUGCGACCAUAUCGUGUGGUUUCGUGUCCAUAAAUUUUUCAUGAUUUGACCUCAAAUCAGGUAAGAGUACCCGCUGAACUUAAGCAUAUCAAUAAGCGGAUGA
rnacentral:misc_RNA from 1 species